rnacentral:sRNA from 1 species
AUGUGCCAUGCGUGCACUGCGCUUCUGAGCGCGCCGUCCGCACCCACCUGAAGAUCGCUACGUUUUGUUGGCC